AGSAAGCAGUGCCAGAACUUCGCCCUGCCAGUGCCCUGGUCGUCUUUGCCUUUUGAACAGGAAUAUCAAGUUUCCAAGGAAGUUAUCAGACCAACACUAAAUAUGCCCAAUGGAAUGCUGUAGASGUUCAUGGUUCGCCUUACCUACCUUUCUGGAGCAUUAAACACAUAACAGACUUGCUUUAAAACACUGCAACAGGCCAGAGUGCUUGGACAAGGCUCUGAACUCCGAAGCGAUGCCUUCAUCAUCCGAAUACAGCCAAAUCUCCAGUGGAAACUCAAAACAGACCAGUAACUUUUAGACUUUUAAAGGAUUGAGGAAUUAUGGUCAGAAGAAACGCUUAGCGGACAUACAGUUCAUUACCCCAUAUGGGAGCUGGCUGGGAAGAGAAAGGACACUUCUGAGCAAGAAUUGAGGUUUUGGAAAAUAUGCCUCAACUUAGGAUGAAAAUGUGAAAAAGUGAGAAGYUGGAAUAUGAAAGUAAAAAAUUGGAAUAUUUUCUCUGAGAGCACCACAGUUCAGGGAUGACAAAAGUUUCAUGAUCUUUGCUUUAACACUGCUCCAGAGCUUUGAGGGUCAGAGGACCACACUGAAACCAGGCCCCCAGCUCACCCGGAACGGCUGGGCACGUGGACGCAACAGAUCUGCAACAGCCCCUGCCCCGAGGUCAACUGUGGAGCUGUUAAAGCGUUAUUUGCCCAGCGCUGGGAGACAGGAGUUUCCUGGUGACGCUGUGACAAUCGUCUGUAACAGACUAAAGAACCACGAUAUUCCUUCUGCCUUGAAAUCCACUGCUUCAGUGAGUGAAACCACCUACAAGCCAUUUGAUUUUGGACRCUUACUCACCAGGCAAAGCUCAUGAAACCAAGUAACACACCUUUACCGAGUCUGGRGUGAGCUUAACAAACGAGCAAACGCAUUAGGGGGAAGCUGGAGACGCAUACAAGAACCAAAGSAAGCGUAACCAAAAAAGUACUUUAUCUCCAAUAGCUCCACAAAAAAACUGGUGGUCUGGGAAUUUGUUACGUCCUUCCCCCUUUUGRCCUGCUUCCUUGGGGGCAAACUUCUGCUGAUGUACUGAGCUGAUUUGGCACAGGAAAGCUCAGGGUCAGGAGGMUCUGUAAUGAAGUACCGGGCUCCACUGCCCAGGAACAGCUGGCAGGGGGAAAAAGCCUAACACGUGACAAAUCAGACACUUUUCCUGGUUUUGGCUUCUUACCUGCAACAGAAAAAAUGUCAGGAAGAGACAAUACGCUUCGCAGAGAAGUACACUUGGAUUACUUAGGAGAUAAUAAAAUUGCCACUGGUUUUAAGCUUGUUGAGCUC
rnacentral:lncRNA from 1 species